rnacentral:snRNA from 1 species
AGCUUUGCACAGUGGCAGUAUCAUAAUCAAUGAUGUUAUACGAGGCAAAAUUAUUACUAAUUGAAAACUUUUCCCAAUACCCCGCCGUGACAACUUGGAAUAUAGUUGGCAUUGGCAAUUUUUGAUAUUCUCCACACAGA